UACGGGGGGAGCAAGCGUUGUUCGGAUUUACUGGGCGUAAAGGGCGCGUAGGCGGCCACCGCAAGUCGACUGUGAAAUCUCCGGGCUUAACCCGGAAAGGUCAGCCGAUACUGCGGGGCUAGAGUGCAGAAGGGGCAACUGGAAUUCUCGGUGUAGCGGUGAAAUGCGUAGAUAUCGAGAGGAACACCUGCGGCGAAGGCGGGUUGCUGGGCUGACACUGACGCUGAAGCGCGAAAGCGUGGGGAGCAAACAGG
rnacentral:rRNA from 1 species